rnacentral:rRNA from 1 species
UACGGAGGGUGCGAGCGUUGUCCGGAUUUAUUGGGCGUAAAGAGCGUGUAGGCGGUUCGGUAAGUCUGCUGUGAAAUCCUGGGGCUCAACCCUGGGCGUGCAGCGGAUACUGCCGGGCUAGAGGGUGGUAGAGGCGAGUGGAAUUCCGAGUGUAGCGGUGAAAUGCGCAGAUAUUCGGAGGAACACCAGUAGCGAAGGCGGCUCGCUGGGCCACACCUGACGCUGAGGAGCGAAAGCGUGGGGAGCAAACAGG